rnacentral:rRNA from 1 species
CCUACGGGAGGCAGCAGUAGGGAAUUUUCGUCAAUGGGCGCAAGCCUGAACGAGCGAUGCCGCGUGAGUGAAGAAGGCCUUCGGGUCGUAAAGCUCUGUUGCGGGGGAAAAAAGGCAGCAUCAGGAAAUGGGUGCUGACUGAUGGUGCCCCGCCAGAAAGUCACGGCUAACUACGUGCCAGCAGCCGCGGUAAUACGUAGGUGGCGAGCGUUAUCCGGAUGGAUUGGGCGUAAAGGGUGCGCAGGCGGUCCUGCAAGUCUGGAGUGAAACGCAUGAGCUCAACUCAUGCAUGGCUUUGGAAACUGGAGGACUGGAGAGCAGGAGAGGGCGGUGGAACUCCAUGUGUAGCGGUAAAAUGCGUAGAUAUAUGGAAGAACACCAGUGGCGAAGGCGGCCGCCUGGCCUGUUGCUGACGCUGAGGCACGAAAGCGUGGGGAGCAAAUAGGAUUAGAUACCCUUGUAGUC